rnacentral:lncRNA from 1 species
GGAUGAUAAUUAUUAUGAUUGUUGCAAUUAAAGAAAUAGAUGAAGGGUAUACAGUGUAUAUAUAUAUCAAACUGUUAUGAUUGCAUUAUAACUUCAGAAGUUUAUACUCAUCAUAUUCCCACAGGUAUUGUGACUGAGACGUCAUGGCUUGUGCAGACAUCCCUAUGGACAUCCUGGGUCCUGAAUCUGAGGAGCAGGAGUACGAGGAGGCCGGUGACCAGAGAGGAGAAACACUGAUCAAUUAUUACCAAGCAACUGAACUAAUGCCUGCUCCCAAAGGACCACUCCAUGACCUGUUGCUGAAGCAGCCUGCUGUGUUGGGGUCUUUGCAGAUGACGAGCGGUCUACUCAGUGUUGCAGUCGGAGUUGUGUUUGCUGCCACUCGGGAUGCGAGCCAGUCCCUUUUAACCACGUUCAGAGUCGCGCCCUUCACUGGACUACUAUUCUUCAUCGCUGGGUUGUUAUCCAACCUGUUGUUCAAAUUCCCCAGACUAUUACCUGUCUGCCUGUGUGUCAACAUCGGCAGCAUGGUCGUAGCAGUAGUUGGAGGAGUGUUGAUAUGCGUUGAUUUGGGCAUGGACAUGCCUACCUGGAAUCCCAAUCUUCAACAUCAUAUAAAGCUGGAGGUGCUGAUGCUCUGUGUGUUGGUCAUGGAGGUGACCCUCUCUGCUGUCCUCUCCUUCUGGAUCCGGGGAGCGAAACGCCACCAUUCACUGUGAACUGUUAUCUGUCUGCCAGCUAUUCAUGGACGACCACAUCCAAAUAUAUUGGUGUUUAAAAAAUGAAAUGAUAGUGAGCGAGGAAGACAAUGGGGGAAGAUAUGCUGAGUCCAAGGGCGGCGCCCGCAGUAAAGGGACUUAUCAUUAUAAUGUUGUCUCUACUUGACUGUAAAUGAACUAACAUCUGAAUUUCCAGGAUAGAGAGUACUCUAAAAACGGUUUAGCUUUGACCAUCAGUAUGUGCCUGAAUGUAUGAGAAAGUACAGCAGCCUCAGAUAUCUUUACCCACUAUCCAGCCUAUGUAGGCCAGCGGUGAGUCCUCAUCAAGGGGCUUGACUCACCGCCCCUACACCUAUCUGUGGGUUUUAGAGUACUGUCUCAACCUCGGUGAUUGCCUGCCUGCCUGCCUGCCUCCCUGCCUGCCUCCCUGCCUGCCUCCCUGCCUGCCUCCCUGCCUGUCUGCCUGCCUCCCUGUCUGCCUGCCUGCCUGCCUGCCUGCCUGCCUGCCUGCCUCCCUGCCUGUCUGCCUGCCUCCCUGCCUGCCUCCCUGCCUGUCUGCCUGCCUGCCUGCCUGCCUGCCUGCCUGCCUGCCUGCCUGCCUGCCUGCCUCCCUGCCUGCCUGCCUGCCUGUCUGCCUGCCUGCCUGCCUGCCUCCCUGCCUGCCUGCCUGCCUGUCUGCCUGCCUGCCUGCCUGCCUGCCUGCCUCCCUGCCUGCCUGCCUGCCUGCCUGCCUGCCUGCCUUCCUGCCUGCUACGAGGCCUGUCUGUGUGGUUCUUUCUGACCAGAUUGGUUGUGGUCUAACUCUGCUGCGUAGCUACACACACACACACGCAUGCACGCACGCAAACACACAGCGUAGCUACACACUCCACUCAGACUGAGAACAACAGUCUUGUGGUCAAAACUAGAAUGCGUCCCAAAUGGCACCCUAUUCCCUAUUUAGUGCAUAACUUCUGACCAGGGCAGGGUAGUGCACAACAAUAUAGGGAAUAGGGUGCCAUUUGGGACACGGACAUAUUGUGUUCUCGGAGGUGUCGAGGCAACCAUUCUUCAUUAGCGUUGCCUCCUCAUUGGUUCGUUGUUCCCUAUUUCAACCAGUGUGAGUUCUUCCUGUGUGACUCUAUCUAUCUCAGUGUGUGUUUGCAGGGGUCUGGUUGUGGUUAAUGAUAAGAGUGUGUCUGUAUCUAGCAGUAGCUUUAGGCGCUAACUGUAAAGGCUGACAGCAUCAGUACAUAGCUUAAGCCUACCAGUUGACAGUUUGAAACAGAGACAUUUUCCAAACAAAGCCCCCUAUGUUGUUGUUGUUUUCAACUGCUCACAUGUGGUCAUCUAACAGACUGGUAUCCAGAGAGAGUGCUUUGUCUUGCUCGCUUCAAACACUGUAAUUGUUGUUUGAGUAAAAAUCAUUUCCAUAUUAGGCAUUGAGAAAAAGCUGAAGUAAUAUCAUGUCAGAUGUAGCUGUGGUGCUAAACAUCAAAGAGCUUUUCAAUAUCCUGUUUAAUACUCUGUACAGAGAGACACAUAGUACUGGUAACGAUAAGAACAGCCAGAGAGACACAUAGUACUGGUAACGAUAAGAACAGCCAGAGAGACACAUAGUACUGGUAACGAUAAGAACAGCCAGAGAGACACAUAGUACUGGUAACGAUAAGAACAGCCAGAGAGACACAUAGUACUGGUAACGAUAAGAACAGCCAGAGAGACACAUAGUCCUGGUAACGAUAAGAACAGCCAGACAGACACAUAGUACUGGUAACGAUAAGAACAGCCAGAGAGACACAUAGUACUGGUAACGAUAAGAACAGCCAGACAGACACAUAGUACUGGUAACGAUAAGAACAGCCAGAGAGACACAUAGUACUGGUAACGAUAAGAACAGCCAGAGAGACACAUAGUCCUGGUAACGAUAAGAACAGCCAGAGAGACACAUAGUCCUGGUAACGAUAAGAACAGCCAGAGAGACACAUAGUACUGGUAACGAUAAGAACAGCCAGACAGACACAUAGUACUGGUAACGAUAAGAACAGCCAGAGAGACACAUAGUCCUGGUAACGAUAAGAACAGCCAGAGAGACAGGGAAAUGUCACUUGUUCUGACGCCUCGGUCACACCGACAGAGUCAUUGCGCAAAAUGUUACGCAGCAUCAUCUGGAUAUGUGUGUAACAAAAGUUCAACAUUCACCUUUCGGCUACCGUUUCUGUCAAGCCGACUACACAUACAGUUUGAUUAAGUUCUAUAAAUCCAACGCACCACACAGAACACACUGCAACUGCCUCGGCAAGGCAAUGCUGCAGGACAAACGCAGCUUUUCAUUGGAAAUGAAUGUAGUUCUGGUGGACCAAAAUGCAAUGAUACUGUCGGUGUGAUGGAGGUGUUAAUUAACAGAAUAGCUGGUAGUGAAUCUCCACUAGCGUCUGUCUGGCUGUCUGCUGAAUAGCUGGUAGUGAAUCCCCACUAGCAUCUGUCUGGCUGUCUUCUGAAUAGCUGGUAGUGAAUCCCCACUAGCGUCUGUCUGGCUGUCUGCUGAAUAGCUGGUAGUGAAUCCCCACUAGCGUCUGUCUGGCUGUCUGCUGAAUAGCUGGUAGUGAAUCCCCACUAGCGUCUGUCUGGCUGUCUGCUGAAUAGCUGGUAGUGAAUCCCCACUAGCGUCUGUCUGGCUGUCUGCUGAAUAGCUGGUAGUGAAUCCCCACUAGCGUCUGUCUGGCUGUCUGCUGAAUAGCUGGUAGUGAAUCCCCACUAGCGUCUGUCUGGCUGUCUGCUGAAUAGCUGGUAGUGAAUCCCCACUAGCGUCUGUCUGGCUGUCUGCUGAAUAGCUGGUAGUGAAUCCCCACUAGCGUCUGUCUGGCUGUCUGCUGAAUAGCUGGUAGUGAAUCCCCACUAGCGUCUGUCUGGCUGUCUGCUGAAUAGCUGGUAGUGAAUCCCCACUAGCGUCUGUCUGGCUGUCUGCUGAAUAGCUGGUAGUGAAUCCCCACUAGCGUCUGUCUGGCUGUCUGCUGAAUAGCUGGUAGUGAAUCCCCACUAGCGUCUGUCUGGCUGUCUGCUGAAUAGCUGGUAGUGAAUCCCCACUAGCGUCUGUCUGGCUGUCUGCUGAAUAGCUGGUAGUGAAUCCCCACUAGCGUCUGUCUGGCUGUCUGCUGAAUAGCUGGUAGUGAAUCCCCACUAGCGUCUGUCUGGCUGUCUGCUGAAUAGCUGGUAGUGAAUCCCCACUAGCGUCUGUCUGGCUGUCUGCUGAAUAGCUGGUAGUGAAUCCCCACUAGCGUCUGUCUGGCUGUCUGCUGAAUAGCUGGUAGUGAAUCCCCACUAGCGUCUGUCUGGCUGUCUGCUGAAUACUUUCCAUCUGUUUGCUUCCUUGAAUAAAACAUAAUAAAACAAAGCUUCUACAUUAUAAACAGUGAUACAUAUCUAGUUCAUUAAAACACAUAUACAGUCAGAACGCCACGUACCAGCAUUGGUGAAACUAUUUCUUUAAGUACUGCAUACAUAGCAAUGUUAAAU